GACGAACGCUGGCGGCGUGCUUAACACAUGCAAGUCGAACGAAGAGCGACGGAAGCUUGCUUCUAUCAAUCUUAGUGGCGAACGGGUGAGUAACGCGUAAUCAACCUGCCCUUCAGAGGGGGACAACAGUUGGAAACGACUGCUAAUACCGCAUACGAUCUAACCUCGGCAUCGAGGAUAGAUGAAAGGUGGCCUCUACAUGUAAGCUAUCACUGAAGGAGGGGAUUGCGUCUGAUUAGCUAGUUGGAGGGGUAACGGCCCACCAAGGCGAUGAUCAGAAGCCGGUCUGAGAGGAUGAACGGCCACAUUGGGACUGAGACACGGCCCAGACUCCUACGGGAGGCAGCAGUGGGGAAUCUUCCGCAAUGGACGAAAGUCUGACGGAGCAACGCCGCGUGAGUGAUGACGGCCUUCGGGUUGUAAAGCUCUGUUAAUCGGGACGAAAGGCCUUCUUGCGAAUAGUGAGAAGGAUUGACGGUACCGGAAUAGAAAGCCACGGCUAACUACGUG
rnacentral:rRNA from 1 species